GACGAACGCUGGCGGCGUGCCUAAUACAUGCAAGUAGACCGCAGUUGAGAACGGGUGAGUAACGCGUAGGUAACUGCCUCAUAGCGGGGGAUAACUAUUGGAAACGAUAGCUAAUACCGCAUACUGUGCGAUGGACCUGCGUUGGAUUCGCUAGUUGGUGAGGUAAAGGCACAACAAGGCGCAGAUACAUAGCCGACCUGAGAGGGUGAUCGGACCAACUGGGUACGAUACACGACCCAGGCUCAUACGGGAGGCAGCAGUAGGGAAUCGUCGCAAAUGGACGGAAGUUUGACCGAGCAACGCCGGGUGAGUGAAUAUGGUUUGCGGAUCGAAAAGCUAUGUUGUGAGAGAAGCGGUAACUAACCAGAAAGGGACGGCUAAAUACGUGACAGCAGCCGCGGUAAUUC
rnacentral:rRNA from 1 species